CAGUGGUGGUGGCUCACUGGCUUUAAAUUUUGCUAGUGGAGGCUGUCUUGACCGCAGUACCACGACGCGCUUCCACGCGUAGCACUGCGUUUUCUUGAAUUUGUCUCAAAGAUACUCAAGCCUCAACAGAAGGCGUCUGUCGUUGCUUUUAUGGACUACGCAUCUUACGUUAAACAUUCGAGUCUUGUUAAAUCGUCUCGGUGCACGUUUGAGCUUCUCGGCCUUGAUUAGCUUAGCUUGCUACAGGCUAACCAGAACGCGUUUGAAAUCACCAGAUUGCUCAGUGGACACGAGACAUGAUUGUCGUUUGAACAUUUGCGCAACAAGUGCAGGAGAGUACGAGUGAAACUUCGUGUCGUAAAAGUGGAGAACGAUCGACCACGUCAACUACUGGACACUGUUGUCAAAAUGCAGCCAGGAAUUGUUCAACACGGAGCAGCGGGAAUACACAAACAGUGGUAAACAAUCACGGCGAAACUUGGACGCAGCUGAGCAGAACACCUUUGGAGCCUGUAGCGGAAGCCAACUGCUUCAUUCCAGUGGUGAGUGACAUCACCACUGGUGUUUUAUUGACAGUAGAAAGUAACAAGUGCAGAGAUGAAAGUCCUCUGAAUUUUCCUGGAAUUCCGGGUUUUUAAAAUUGUCCUCAAUUUUCCACCGGUAAAUUUAAUUGCCUAAAAUGAAUCCGGGUAUUCAUUGACAACAUGAAUGAACACGCGUUUGAGUUUGUUGUUUUGCUCGUAGUGACACCACUCGAGCGAAGCGCGCCACAGCACUCGGUUGGUCUCUGCUGUACGUGCGUCAGCACGAACAUUUAUGCAUGCGAACGUCAUUUUGGUUUCAACCAAUCAGCGCCGACGCAACAGACGUCAGAUAUCGAAGAAGCUCCGACAACUGCAAACACAAGCAACAACAAACCACCAGUCCCCUACCUUGGACUUUCGAAAUUUCGGCGACGGCGGAAGCCCCAAAGUUCAGAUAAAUAAUUGAAUAUUGAGUAUUUGAGCGCUAUAUGUAAAGUUAUUCGUGCGUAAUGUUCAAGCAGGUAGACGGACAAGCAGACUUACGCGCGAUAGACGUGAGUGUGAGGAACUCGUUCAAGUGGUCAUGGCUCAAAGAAAAGGACAUGAACGGAGAUUUUUCGUCUGACUCUAUUCGGAAGGUCGACAAACCAGGUAAGUAAUUUUGAUUCUCUCCUCUUUCAUCUCAAAAGGCUUUAAACAACAAAGCGUACUAGGGAGAAGACUGUCCGUGUUUUGUAAUGUGCUGUUCAUUAUUUUACUCUGUUAAUGUCAUGUUCCGGUUUUGGCAGCAGGUGGCGGGCUGAGCAUUCUUGCUGGCUGCACACCUGCUGCCAAUCUGUCUUGAUUAUGCACCUGGUUUAUUAGGACUGUCUUUCUGGCUCUUUCUUGCCGGAGAAUUGGAUGCCGUGCCACGGCUUUUGCCAAUGUGUCAUUUGUAUGUGUGUGUGUGUGUAUAUUAAAGGCAACUCAUUAUACUAUUCAGAUUUCUAUAUCAAGUUACAAUGAAUGAUAUGGUGCAGACGUAUCUCUAUCUUACUGUAGUCUUAAAACUUAUUGUAUUUAUAUUUAAUUUUAUGUGUCUGUGUGAUUUCAUUUCUGAAAUAAAAUGUGCAUUAAUUUUUCAUUCAUUCUUAUCAUAUUCUUUCAGGGCUUGCUAUCUGCAUUUGGUGCAACGAUACCCUUAGGUACGGAUCAUCAGGGAAGAAGGAUUUAAAAACCCACUCAAAGAAAGUGAAGCACGAUGCUGUGAGGAAAUCCAUGCAAACAAACCAGUCCCUUCCUGCAGUGUUCAGUGCAACCAAAGCCCUGAAUGAAGGAACAACUUCCAAGGCUUCAUCCAGUCUGCCAUACGGAGCUGCACCUAAUAUACUUGACAGUAGCAGCUGCCCUGAGCUGGUUCAGCCACCACGUCCCUACGUCAGUAUGGUGGACAGAAAAGCUCACUUAGAAGCGAUGACACUGUCAUUCAUCGCAGAACACUCACUGCCACUGAGUUUAACACCUCGACUCACCAAUUUUGCACAGGAGUUUGGUAGAGAUAGCAAACGAAUACAAAUGGAGAGGACCACAGCUUCAUAUAAGCUCAGACAGUCUUACAGAAGUUUUGCAUAAACGACUCAUCAAAGAUUUGGAGAAUCACAAGUUUUCAAUGAACAUGGAUGAAUGCACUUGCGCAAACAACAAGUAUUGAGUGUUUUGGUGAGUUACUACAGAGAUGCACAGAAUGAGUGUGUUGUGCAACAUUACCUUUCAACAACAUUAACUGUAGUUAGUGCAGCCAUUAUCGAAUCAACCAUAUUGGAAAAUUUUGAGAGAGAUUCCAUACCACUGGAGAACUUGAUUUCUUAUCUGUCGGAUUCUGCCAAUUAUAUGAGGGGCAAGAAGGGAGGUGUUGAAACUCUUCUGCGAUCUAGUGCGCCACACCUGCUGGAUAUCGAUGGAGACAUCGGUCACUACAUUCAGAAUGCUGUCAGGAAAUUCUGCAGUGGUUUUGAAUCUCAAGUGGAAAAACUUUGUGAUGAUCUUUUCACUGACACAAAGUGCAGCACUGAUAUCAAAGAGUAUCUCCAAGAGCUUUGGAUGAUAUUAGGAGUACAGUACCUGACGCCGCCACAGAGAAUAUCACACCGCUGUCUGUCUGUAUGUAACAGAGGGGAAUCUAUUCAUCAUUGAGCCACUAACGUUGCUGUAUGCUUCCUGGAUUCCUAAAGAUCUUCAGUCAGCUUAUGCCAUCUACACUGACCAGCUUCUGGAAAAGCUGUCCAAACAGUCUGUAAAAAGAAUCAAGGCCAUACAAAUGCAAUGUGCGAACAAAGGUCACUGAUGAUGGGAGAAAAAGAAAACUCAGAAUUGUGGACAACUGUUCUACCAAAGAGACAAAACAAUUUUGACCAUGAACAUGUACGUAUCUGUCCUACCCAUAUUCAAGUCUUUUGUCCUGAUGUUUGAACAGAAGGAACCAAUGGUGCACAAGUUUCACGACGAGCACACAGAUUUGCCUGUUUCAUUCUACAAGAGAAGGUGCGGGACAUUUCUGCUUCUCAGUUGCAAAAAAUAGACGUCAGCAAUGCAUCCAUGCAUAUGCCCGCAAAGGACAUUUUCAUAGGAGAUCCUUCAGAAAAGAUUCUGAAAAGAUUGUCAAGACACAACAGCUUGCGUCAAGAAUUUAGAAAGAGGGUCAGAGAAGCAUUUGUUGCUGCAGCGCACUAUCUCCAGGGAAAGCUUCCUCUCAGCAAUCCACUUUUGAAGUGUUUGUCAGCAAUUGAUCCUGAAGCACAAGGGCACACUAUGACACACAGUCAUCUCAAGAAGCUUGUGAAGUAUUUCCCCACUCUUAUGAGCUCCAGCAGUGACACAGAUCUGUAUCUCAGGGAAAUUUUAAGAAUACAAGUUGACUUACCCUUCCAGAUUGUGGCACAGAAGUCGAUGGAGAGUCAAAGGUCAAGCGUCUAGACCACUGGUGGGCUGAGGUAAUGCCACACUAUCCAACCCAGGGUAAAGUAGUGAAGGCCUUAUUUCAGCAUCUUUUCUGGGCCACGAAUAGAGCAGUCAUUCAGUGUCAUGAAUGAUAUUAUCGACCCUAAGUCAAAUAGGCUAGCUAGCUAGCAGGACAUAUUCAGCCAUACAAACCGUCAAAUAUGACCUGAAGGCAAGAAAUACAACAGCCUUAAGGGAUUUCCACCGAGAUGAUAUACAGUGGACAAGAAGAGUAUGGUGUAUCAUUUGCAGACAGCUUAUGGAAGAUACUAAAAGAGACUGCAUGCUGAAAAUGAAAGAAAGAAAGGAAAGCUGAAGAAGUGAAAGUGACUCACACAACACAGCGGAAUCCUUCCUCAAAGGUGACUGUUCAUCAAUGAGCUAAGAAGACUAUAUUGAAGCGUUCACAACAGAGGAAAAGGAAAUGAGCCGAGUGUGACUGCAGUGGAUCUUCAAAGAGAAAUGCAAAAAACUCAAAACAUGUUUAAAUCACAGAACUGAAAUAAGCGAUUUAUUAUUGAGGUAUUACUCUCCAUUAUUAUCAGAGUAAGAAAUAAAAAGUGGAAAAUCUACUUUCAA